rnacentral:rRNA from 1 species
GAUGAACGCUGGCGGCGUGCCUAAUACAUGCAAGUCGAGCGAACGGACGAGAAGCUUGCUUCUCUGAUGUUAGCGGCGGACGGGUGAGUAACACGUGGAUAACCUACCUAUAAGACUGGGAUAACUUCGGGAAACCGGAGCUAAUACCGGAUAAUAUUUUGAACCGCAUGGUUCAAAAGUAAAAGACGGUCUUGCUGUCACUUAUAGAUGGAUCCGCGCUGCAUUAGCUAGUUGGUAAGGUAACGGCUUACCAAGGCAACGAUGCAUAGCCGACCUGAGAGGGUGAUCGGCCACACUGGAACUGAGACACGGUCCAGACUCCUACGGGAGGCAGCAGUAGGGAAUAUUCCGCAAUGGGCGAAAGCCUGACGGAGCAACGCCGCGUGAGUGAUGAAGGUCUUCGGGUCGUAAAACUCUGUUAUUAGGGAAGAACAUAUGUGUAAGUAACUGUGCACAUCUUGACGGUACCUAAUCAGAAAGCCACGGCUAACUACGUG